GACGAACGCUGGCGGCGUGCUUAACACAUGCAAGUCGAACGGAAAGGCCUCAGCUUGCUGGGUACUUGAGUGGCGAAAGGGGGAGUAAAACGUGGGUGAACUGCCUUUCAACUUGGGGAAAGCUUGGGAAACCGGGGCUAAUUACGGAAUAGGAACGCCUUUAGUGUGGUGGUUGGAAAAGUUUUUCGGUGCAAGCUGAGGUCGUGGGCUAUUAGCUUGUUGGUGGGGGAAUGGCCGACCAAGGCGUCGACGGGUAGCCGGCCUGGGAGGGUGUACGGCCACAUUGGGACUGAGAUACGGCCCAGACUCCUACGGGAGGCAGCAGUGGGGAAUAUUGCACAAUGGGCGGAAGCCUGAUGCAGCGACGCCGCGUGGGGGAUGACGGCCUUCGGGUUGGAAACUCCUUUCGACAGGGACGAAGCUUUUUGUGACGGUACCUGUAUAAGAAGCACCGGCUAACUACGUG
rnacentral:rRNA from 1 species